CUGGGAUUACAGGCGUGAACCACCGCGCCUGGCCUGACUUUUAAUAAUUAACUUUUUGGCCGGGCACGGUGGCUCAUGCUUGUAAUCCCAGC
rnacentral:miRNA from 10 species